rnacentral:rRNA from 1 species
AACGAACGCUGGCGGCAUGCCUAACACAUGCAAGUCGAACGAGACCUUCGGGUCUAGUGGCGCACGGGUGCGUAACGCGUGGGAACCUGCCCUUAGGUUCGGAAUAACUCCCCGAAAGGGGUGCUAAUACCGGAUAAUGUCUUCGGACCAAAGAUUUAUCGCCUUUGGAUGGGCCCGCGUUGGAUCAGCUAGUUGGUAGGGUAAAAGCCUACCAAGGCGACGAUCCAUAGCUGGUCUGAGAGGAUGAUCAGCCACACUGGGACUGAGACACGGCCCAGACUCCUACGGGAGGCAGCAGUGGGGAAUAUUGGACAAUGGGCGAAAGCCUGAUCCAGCAAUGCCGCGUGAGUGAUGAAGGCCUUAGGGUUGUAAAGCUCUUUUACCCGGGAUGAUAAUGACAGUACCGGGAGAAUAAGCUCCGGCUAACUCCGU